rnacentral:rRNA from 1 species
UACGUAGGGUGCGAGCGUUAAUCGGAAUUACUGGGCGUAAAGCGUGCGCAGGCGGUUUUGUAAGCCAGAUGUGAAAUCCCCGGGCUUAACCUGGGAAUGGCAUUUGGGACUGCAAGGCUCGAGUGCGGCAGAGGAGGGUAGAAUUCCACGUGUAGCAGUGAAAUGCGUAGAUAUGUGGAGGAAUACCGAUGGCGAAGGCAGCCCCCUGGGAUAACACUGACGCUCAUGCACGAAAGCGUGGGGAGCAAACAGG